GAGAUGUGCAAAGAAAGCCUGAAAAGUACCUGGAGGACUUCAGAGUCAGCUUUUGAAAUACCUGAGAAAUAGGAACGGCCUUUGAACUUUCUCAAAUGAAAUAAGCUCUGGAGAAGAAGUAGUUUCUGGAGCUCUGUACCAUAAUGACCGAUAUGCCCAAGUGUGUACAGACCAAAGAGGUGGUACUUCCAUCAAGCAACCAAAUUUGAGACUGAGAUACCCUCACAGAUUUUUACUCACUGGCUUCUAGAAGGGAUUCAUUGAUGGAGGAGAAGAGCAUCUCAGAA
rnacentral:lncRNA from 1 species